CGUGGGAAUCUGCCUUGAAGUGGGGAAUAACUGCUCGAAAGAGUAGCUAAUACCGCAUGUGGUUAUGUAACAAUAACUAAAGCUUCGCAAGAGGUGCUUUAAGAGGAGCCUGCGACUGAUUAGCUAGUUGGUGGGGUAAAGGCUCACCAAGGCCGUGAUCAGUAGCUGGUCUGAGAGGAUGGUCAGCCACACUGGGACUGCGACACGGCCCAG
rnacentral:rRNA from 1 species